AUUCCUACGUAAACUGAGCCAAUUCCGCUCGUAUGGCGUUACAUUUUUUAAUUAAGUGACGAAAAUAUCCCUUUGCCGCCUUCAUCUCCUCUAGUCGUUCUCUCCACUGCUCCAACCAGAACGCUGUUCUCUGCUUCCUGUUAUCCCUCUCUUCAUUCUGAUUUUGAAUUGUAUUCUUGCGUUUUGGUUUUUUGGGUUGCAGAAAAUAAGCGUGAAUUCAGUUUAUGUACCUAAACUCAUUUACGUAUAUAUGGAUCGAUACGUGCAAAGCUUACUAAUGGUAAUGUCAUUCUUGCAACUUCCAUUAUUGAAAUGUAUGCAAAAUGUGGUAGCUUCAAUAUUGCAAGUGAAUUGUUCGACAAAAUGCCCAAGAGAAACAUCAUUGCUCUCAACUGUAUGAUUGAUGCUUAUAAUCGGAAUGAGAGUGUUCAGUGUUUGUGCCCAUCACUGUGCUUUGGCAUUGGAAUUUUAUUUUCAUGUAAUCAUGUUGGAUUGGUUGAAGAGGGACAGUAUAGUGCUAGAAAAAGAACAUUGUAGUUGUAGUUGUAUGGUUGAUCUUUAGAGUCAGGAAGGUCAUUUCGGAGAAGCAGAAAGGUUAUUAAUCGAGACAACCAAAUAUUGCUAUAUGAUUAUAGGGUGCUCUUUUAAAUGGUUGUCUGAUUUGUGAAAACAUUGGCUUGCCAGUCAUGUGAAAGUACGAUUGACAGAGCUGGAACCUGUUCUAAGUGGAAUUUAUGUUUUUAUGCUAAUUCUGGAAGACGCGAAGAGGUAAAUAUGGCUAGAAAAAUGAUGAAGCAUAAAAGGAUUUCAAAGGGAAUUGGUUACAGUUCAGUUGAAAUGAAGCUGUUAUUAAGUUCAUGACCAUCUCAAGAUUCAUUUGUUGUCUCAAAUUAGGAAGUAUUAUCUGCCGGAGUAGCUUCAACAUAUAUCCCUUGGGGUGGUGUUCUUCUAAUCUCCUUUAGCUUCCUUGGUUGGUUUAUUCCAAUCAAUAUACAGGGCUCUGUUAACUAUGUAUUGUAUUGGAACUUCCAUUGUGACUUGUGAGGAAGUUUAAAAAGCUGCAACUGAGUUGCAGUAUGCAUAAUGGACUGCACGACAACAGAGUUGCAAACUGAAAGGAGUAUGCAGAAUGUGCUGCAGAGUUACAGAAUGCAGAAUCGGGAAUUACUGUAACAGCUAUUGUGUUUAGUA